AGAGUUUGAUCAUGGCUCAGAUUGAACGCUGGCGGCAGGCCUAAUACAUGCAAGUCGAACGGUAACAUAAGAAAAGCUUGCUUUUCUUGAUGACGAGUGGCGGACGGGUGAGUAAUAUUUGGGAAACUACCUGAUAGAGGGGGACAACAGUUGGAAACGACUGCUAAUACCGCAUAAGCCCACGGCUCGGCAUCGAGCAGAGGGAAAAGGAGCAAUCCGCUUUGAGAUGGCCUCGCGUCCGAUUAGCUAGUUGGUGAGGUAACGGCCCACCAAGGCGACGAUCGGUAGCCGGACUGAGAGGUUGAACGGCCACAUUGGGACUGAGACACGGCCCAGACUCCUACGGGAGGCAGCAGUGGGGAAUAUUGCACAAUGGGGGAAACCCUGAUGCAGCGACGCCGCGUGGAGGAAGAAGGUCUUCGGAUUGUAAACUCCUGUUGUUGAGGAAGAUAAUGACGGUACUCAACAAGGAAGUGACGGCUAACUACGUGCCAGCAGCCGCGGUAAAACGUAGGUCACAAGCGUUGUCCGGAAUUACUGGGUGUAAAGGGAGCGCAGGCGGGAAGACAAGUUGGAAGUGAAAUCCAUGGGCUCAACCCAUGAACUGCUUUCAAAACUGUUUUUCUUGAGUAGUGCAGAGGUAGGCGGAAUUCCCGGUGUAGCGGUGGAAUGCGUAGAUAUCGGGAGGAACACCAGUGGCGAAGGCGGCCUACUGGGCACCAACUGACGCUGAGGCUCGAAAGUGUGGGUAGCAAACAGGAUUAGAUACCCUGGUAGUCCACACCGUAAACGAUGAUUACUAGGUGUUGGAGGAUUGACCCCUUCAGUGCCGCAGUUAACACAAUAAGUAAUCCACCUGGGGAGUACGACCGCAAGGUUGAAACUCAAAGGAAUUGACGGGGGCCC
rnacentral:rRNA from 1 species